rfam:Fonticula alba strain ATCC 38817 unplaced genomic scaffold supercont2.16, whole genome shotgun sequence.
GGCGCUUUGUCCGAGUGGUUAAGGAGCCAGCCUGCUAAGUUGGUGUGCUCUGCACGCGCGUGUUCGAAUCACGCAGGCGUCA